rnacentral:misc_RNA from 1 species
GAUGAAGAACGCAGCGAAAUGCGAUAAGUAAUGUGAAUUGCAGAAUUCAGUGAAUCAUCGAAUCUUUGAACGCACAUUGCGCCCGCCAGUAUUCUGGCGGGCAUGCCUGUUCGAGCGUCAUUUCAACCAUCAAGCCCCCGGCUUGUGUUGGGGACCUGCGGCUGCCGCAGGCCCUGAAAAGCAGUGGCGGGCUCGCUGUCACACCGAGCGUAGUAGCAUACAUCUCGCGCUGGGCGUGCUGCGGGUUCCGGCCGUUAAACCACCUUCAUAACCCAAGGUUGACCUCGGAUCAGGUAGGAAGACCCGCUGAACUUAAGCAUAUCAAUAAGCGGAGGA